ACGGCUCAGUAACACGUAGGUAACUGCCCUAAAGUCUGGAAUAACCUUGGGAAACUGAGGGUAAUACCGGAUAGAGAAAGACUACUGGAAUGUGUUUUUCUCCAAAGUUUUAACGCUUUAGGAUGGGCCUGCGGCGGAUUAGGUUGUUGGUGAGGUAACGGCUCACCAAGCCAAUGAUCCGUACGGGCAAUGGAAGUUGGAGCCCGGAGAAGGGGACUGAGACAAGGCCCCUAGCCCUACGGGGUGCAGCAGACGCGAAAACUUCACAAUGCGCGAAAGCGUGAUGAGGUAACUCCGAGUGCCAAGGAGAAAUCCUUGGCUUUUGUUAAGUAUAGAUAGCUUGACGAAUAAGAGCCGGGCAAUAACCCGUGCCAGCCGCCGCGGUAAUACGGGAGGCUCAAGUGGUGUCCGUGUAUAUUGGGCUUAAAGCGUCCGUAGCUGGUCUUGAAAGUCUCUGGUGAAAGCCCGCAGCUCAACUGUGGGAAGUGCUAGGGAAACUCCAAGACUCGGAGGCGGGAGAGGCAAGGGGUACUUCUAGGGUAGCGGUAGAAUGUGUUAAUCCUGGAAGGACCACCGGUAGCGAAGGCGCCUUGCUAGAACGCGCUCGACAGUGAGGGACGAAGGCUAGGGGAGCAACCUGGAUUAGAUACCCAGUUAGUCCUAGCAGUAAAUGAUGCAAACUAGGUGUCAUACAACCUACGGGGUUGAGUGGUGCCGAAGGGAAACCGUUAAGUUUGCCGCCUGGGGAGUAUGGUCGCAAGACUGAAACUUAAAGGAAUUGGCGGGGGAGCAC
rnacentral:rRNA from 1 species